rnacentral:rRNA from 1 species
GACGUAGGGUGCGAGCGUUAAUCGGAAUUACUGGGCGUAAAGCGUGCGCAGGCGGUGAUGUAAGACCGAUGUGAAAUCCCCGGGCUUAACCUGGGAACUGCAUUGGUGACUGCAUUGCUGGAGUAUGGCAGAGGGGGGUGGAAUUCCACGUGUAGCAGUGAAAUGCGUAGAGAUGUGGAGGAACACCGAUGGCGAAGGCAGCCCCCUGGGCCAAUACUGACGCUCAUGCACGAAAGCGUGGGGAGCAAACAGG